rnacentral:sRNA from 1 species
CCCCCUUCCCUCCUGAGGUCGGGGCUUUCCCUUCCUGAGCAGCCACCUCCCGCCCUCUGCUUACAGAGGCACCCACUACCUGCGGGGCGUGAACAACGCGCGCCAGCCGUGGCACAACGCGGAGGGCCGGCUGCGGUACGGGCUGCGGCCGGCGAACCCCACGGAGGAGGGCCUGGCCAGCCUGCACAGCGUGCUGUUCCGCAAGCAGCCGUUCCUGUGGCGCGCUGCACUGCUCUACUACACCAUCCACCGCGCCGCGCGCAUGUCCUUCCGUCAGCUCUUCCAGGACCUGGAGCGCUACGUGCAGGACGCCGACGUGCGCUGGGAGUACUGCGUGCGCGCCAAGCGCGGCCAGACCGACACCUCGCUGCCAGGUUGUUUCAGCAAGGACCAGGUGUACCUGGACGGCAUCGUGCGCAUUCUGCGACAUCGCCAGACCAUCGAUUUCCCGUUGCUGACCUCACUGGGCAAGGUGUCCUAUGAGGAUGUGGACCACCUGCGGCCCCAUGGGGUGCUGGAUAAUACCCGGGUGCCCCACUUCAUGCAGGACUUGGCACGCUACCGGCAGCAGCUGGAGCACAUCAUGGCCACCAACCGGCUGGAUGAGGCGGAGCUGGGUCGCCUGCUACCCGACUGAUGUCCGUUGAGGGCUGCAGACAGAGGCCCUGGACAGAAGCUCCAGAUAGGCCCCCAGAACAUGAAGCAGUUUGCUCUGUGCGUCCACGGCCUAGGUGUUUCUUGGGGGUGUUGGGAGGGCAGGAGCAUUCCUUGAGGAGGAGUGGCAACAUCAAAGUGUUU